CCCUCCUUCAGCUGACUACAGCAAUAUUCCUCAUCAAAAAGCAAGCAAAAAAAAAAAAAAAGAGCAUAUUUGCCUGUGGUCGUCUUCUAAAUAAAUCCCCCCAUCUCGGGAGGCUUGGGGCUGCUGUUUCACCUUCAAUCAGCUUCAGUGCUGCUGUCCUGGAUGUCCAAACUCCACUGCUGCCAUUGCCCUCUAAGGUCACCUGGGACACUCAGAGCCUCCAUUUCUCCCGUGAGUAAUAACACCGGGCUGAGCCCUCCCUAGAGAGCCUGAAGUCUGUGGAAGGUGAGUACUGUGCAGGAGCUCUGCCUUUCUAGUGACUCUUCUAUCCCCUCUGCUUUGCUUGGCUUUGACAAUGCAGGUCAGGAAACACAUGGAACAAGUGCCAGAAGUCCUUUAGUAGUCCUUUACUUUAAUAACAGCCUGCCAGCCCAUUGGCAUGGGCCUGGGUCUUGGGACACAAGAACCCUUCCUGGGACUGGCUCCCCUUCCCUGGUGAAUCUCCUGUGGCCAAUACAGCAGUAGGACUCUGCCUCAGUGGGUACGUGGCCCCAGGGAUGGAGCAGCUGGUCCUGACACGGGGACUGCCAUGCAGCCUGCACGUCCCUGCAGCCCCACAGCCACGAGAUACCAACUCCAAGUGCAGAUGCUCAGCUCCCAAGUGGGCUAACACAAGGCGAAACAGACCUGGAGGAGGGAAGAGGGGGAGGACAGAGUCAAAAUAAGAUGGUUGGGGAAAGCAAGAAAAAAAAAAAAAAAGAAAAGACACAUACACCCUCUCAAAUUCACAUGCUUUUGAAAUGUGUGACUUUCUCUGAGGCUGCAGAGAUGACAAACAGGGGGGGGAAAAAAAAAAAAGGAGCACUUGGAAAGGAGCUCUGUGGAAAGUCCAAAGCCCCAUAUAGCAGCACUGGUGUGCAAAGGCCCUGCAGGGGUGAGGAGGGACGCCGGUUAUCCCAUCACAGCCUCUUAGUGCACUUUGUUUCUGUAUUAUUAUUAUCUAUCCUCCUGUUGCUACAGCCAUUAAAAACUGUCUCUAAAUAGCUCAGCAUGGUGAUUUACUGAUUGAGUUAACUUGGCUGCAGAGUCUCUGGUGCUGAAGGAUGUGGUUUGUGAUUAGAUAAGACCAUUGCCCCUUUCAAAAUGAACAACACAUUAAGAGGUUUUUCUAGGUCAUCCAGGCUGCUCAGCACAGUGCUCUGCCAAGCAGUGCAGAGCCAGGGCCCAUGGUCUCAUCUCAGUGCAGACACUCAUUACAGCUAAUGAAGGGCUGUGCUCUCCUUCCUCUGGAGGAGUCACAGAGCCUGAGAAAACCCCAGGAACAUCUUCAGUCUCUUCUGCCUCAAAAUCCAGCAGGUCAGACUGCUUAGAGUUUCCAGCUCCUGGUGCACAAGGGAAGCUCCCAAAGGAUGCAUGUGCUCAGAUCUCCCCGUGGGAUGUAACCAAGCUCAUAGAGGUCAGCCCAG
ensembl:lncRNA